GCCUGGCUGGCUUGGUCAGAAGAGCAUGUAACUCUUGAUCUCAGAGUCAUGAGUUCGAUUCCCAUGUUGGGUG
rnacentral:tRNA from 1 species